UUUGCGGUACUUCUGACCGUGCAAAGGUAGCAUAAUCAUUUGCCUUAUAAUUGAAGGCUAGUAUGAAUGGUUUGACGAGAAUUAAGCUGUCUCUUUCCAAUUAAAUAUAACUUUAUUAGCAGGUGAAGAAGCCUGUAUUUUAUUGAAAGACAAGAAGACCCUAUCGAGCUUUAAGAAAAUUAACAGAUUUACUACAUAUUCAUAUAAGUGUAAAACUGCUAAAAACUUUGGUUGGGGCGACUGAGGAACAAAUAAAGCUUCCUUUAUAACCAUAUACUUUCAAGUAUUGAUCCAAUAAAUUUGAUUAAAGGAAUUAGUUACCGUAGGGAUAACAGCAUAAUCUUCUUUGAGAGCUCCCAUCGAAAAGAGGGUUUGUGACCUCGAUGUUGGACCAGAAUACCCAGAAGAGCAGUCGUCUUCAAUGGUUGGUCUGUUCGACCAUUAAAAUUCUACGUGA
rnacentral:rRNA from 1 species